UACGUAGGUGGCAAGCGUUAUCCGGAUUUAUUGGGUGUAAAGGGCGUGUAGGCGGGAAUGCAAGUCAGAUGUGAAAACUAUGGGCUCAACUCAUAGCCUGCAUUUGAAACUGUAUUUCUUGAGUGCUGGAGAGGCAAUCGGAAUUCCGUGUGUAGCGGUGAAAUGCGUAGAUAUACGGAGGAACACCAGUGGCGAAGGCGGAUUGCUGGACAGUAACUGACGCUGAGGCGCGAAAGCGUGGGGAGCAAACAGG
rnacentral:rRNA from 1 species